UUAAGGCUCCAUCGAAGCCGUUCUUGCUGAUCUGUGGCAGUGAAUGGUCAUCAGGAAGCCGAGAUGAAACAUUCACCGACGGUCGCGGCCCAGCUUGACAAAGUAGCUGACGGCAGCAACAUUGUGGAGAAUAACAUUC